rnacentral:rRNA from 1 species
ACUUAAAUUGAAGAGUUUGAUCAUGGCUCAGAUUGAACGCUGGCGGCAGGCCUAACACAUGCAAGUCGAGCGGUAGCACAGAGAGCUUGCUCUCGGGUGACGAGCGGCGGACGGGUGAGUAAUGUCUGGGAAACUGCCUGAUGGAGGGGGAUAACUACUGGAAACGGUAGCUAAUACCGCAUAACGUCGCAAGACCAAAGUGGGGGACCUUCGGGCCUCAUGCCAUCAGAUGUGCCCAGAUGGGAUUAGCUGGUAGGUGGGGUAACGGCUCACCUAGGCGACGAUCCCUAGCUGGUCUGAGAGGAUGACCAGCCACACUGGAACUGAGACACGGUCCAGACUCCUACGGGAGGCAGCAGUGGGGAAUAUUGCACAAUGGGCGCAAGCCUGAUGCAGCCAUGCCGCGUGUGUGAAGAAGGCCUUCGGGUUGUAAAGCACUUUCAGCGGGGAGGAAGGCGGUGAGGUUAAUAACCUCACCGAUUGACGUUACCCGCAGAAGAAGCACCGGCUAACUCCGUGCCAGCAGCCGCGGUAAUACGGAGGGUGCAAGCGUUAAUCGGAAUUACUGGGCGUAAAGCGCACGCAGGCGGUCUGUCAAGUCGGAUGUGAAAUCCCCGGGCUCAACCUGGGAACUGCAUUCGAAACUGGCAGGCUAGAGUCUUGUAGAGGGGGGUAGAAUUCCAGGUGUAGCGGUGAAAUGCGUAGAGAUCUGGAGGAAUACCGGUGGCGAAGGCGGCCCCCUGGACAAAGACUGACGCUCAGGUGCGAAAGCGUGGGGAGCAAACAGGAUUAGAUACCCUGGUAGUCCACGCUGUAAACGAUGUCGAUUUGGAGGUUGUGCCCUUGAGGCGUGGCUUCCGGAGCUAACGCGUUAAAUCGACCGCCUGGGGAGUACGGCCGCAAGGUUAAAACUCAAAUGAAUUGACGGGGGCCCGCACAAGCGGUGGAGCAUGUGGUUUAAUUCGAUGCAACGCGAAGAACCUUACCUGGUCUUGACAUCCACAGAACUUUCCAGAGAUGGAUUGGUGCCUUCGGGAACUGUGAGACAGGUGCUGCAUGGCUGUCGUCAGCUCGUGUUGUGAAAUGUUGGGUUAAGUCCCGCAACGAGCGCAACCCUUAUCCUUUGUUGCCAGCGGUCCGGCCGGGAACUCAAAGGAGACUGCCAGUGAUAAACUGGAGGAAGGUGGGGAUGACGUCAAGUCAUCAUGGCCCUUACGACCAGGGCUACACACGUGCUACAAUGGCAUAUACAAAGAGAAGCGACCUCGCGAGAGCAAGCGGACCUCAUAAAGUAUGUCGUAGUCCGGAUUGGAGUCUGCAACUCGACUCCAUGAAGUCGGAAUCGCUAGUAAUCGUAGAUCAGAAUGCUACGGUGAAUACGUUCCCGGGCCUUGUACACACCGCCCGUCACACCAUGGGAGUGGGUUGCAAAAGAAGUAGGUAGCUUAACCUUCGGGAGGGCGCUUACCACUUUGUGAUUCAUGACUGGGGUGAAGUCGUAACAAGGUAACCGUAGGGGAACCUGCGGUUGGAUCACCUCCUUACCUUAAAGAA